CAGCAGCCGCGGGAAUACGGAGGGUGCAAGCGUUAAUCGGAAUUACUGGGCGUAAAGCGCACGCAGGCGGUCUGACAAGUCAGAUGUGAAAUCCCCGGGCUUAACCUGGGAACUGCAUUUGAAACUGUCAGGCUGGAGUCUUGUAGAGGGGGGUAGAAUUCCAGGUGUAGCGGUGAAAUGCGUAGAGAUCUGGAGGAAUACCGGUGGCGAAGGCGGCCCCCUGGACAAAGACUGACGCUCAGGUGCGAAAGCGUGGGGAGCAAACAGGAUUAGAGACCCCUGUAGUCCCUGUCUCUUAUAC
rnacentral:rRNA from 1 species